AGUGAACGCUGGCGGUAGGCCUAACACAUGCAAGUCGAACGGCAGCACAGUAAGAGCUUGCUCUUACGGGUGGCGAGUGGCGGACGGGUGAGGAAUACAUCGGAAUCUACUUUUUCGUGGGGGAUAACGUAGGGAAACUUACGCUAAUACCGCAUACGACCUACGGGUGAAAGCAGGGGAUCUUCGGACCUUGCGCGAUUGAAUGAGCCGAUGUCGGAUUAGCUAGUUGGCGGGGUAAAGGCCCACCAAGGCGACGAUCCGUAGCUGGUCUGAGAGGAUGAUCAGCCACACUGGAACUGAGACACGGUCCAGACUCCUACGGGAGGCAGCAGUGGGGAAUCUUGGCCACUGGGCGCACGCCUGCUCCCGCCCUCCCGCGUGGGUGAAGAAGGCCUUCGGGUUGUAAAGCCCUUUUGUUGGGAAAGAAAAGCAGCAGGUUAAUACCCCGCUGUUCUGACGGUACCCACAGAAUAAGCACCGGCUCACUUCGUG
rnacentral:rRNA from 1 species